rnacentral:rRNA from 1 species
UACGUAGGGUGCGAGCGUUAAUCGGAAUUACUGGGCGUAAAGGGCGCGUAGGCGGCCUUCUAAGUCGGACGUGAAAUCCCUGGGCUCAACCCAGGAACUGCGUCCGAUACUGGAAGGCUUGAAUCCGGGAGAGGGAUGCGGAAUUCCAGGUGUAGCGGUGAAAUGCGUAGAUAUCUGGAGGAACACCGGUGGCGAAGGCGGCAUCCUGGACCGGUAUUGACGCUGAGGCGCGAAAGCCAGGGGAGCAAACGGG